GCAAGACUGGCUGAGUCGUUAGAGAACAGGACUGAUAAUUUCGAGGUCGUUGGUUCGAGCCCAACGUUUUGGC
rnacentral:tRNA from 1 species